rnacentral:lncRNA from 1 species
UAACAUUUAUCAAAAGCCCUCUUAACUGUUGCUCCUGUAAUAUUCACCUGUCUUUACAAUGACUACUAAGGAGAAAGAUUAUCAUCUCUACUUGUCUCCUUUGCCUGCUAAAGGUAUUUCAAACAUCACAAAACUUUUGAAAAUGAAGGAAAGAAAUAAAAAGGAAGGAAUGACUAAAGAAAAAAAGAGGGAAAAGAGGAAGAAAGAUGAAAGGAAAGAAAGAAAACAUGAAGAAAAAAGGACCCGGGCAGACAUCCUACAGAAUUUAUUAUUAAAGCUGUGAAAUUGUAACUAAGUGGGGGAAUAGGGAUUUGGGACACUAGCUAUAUUUUCAGAUUUUUCCCAUAGAUUGGUUUAUUUUGCAGAAGUGGCUUUUCUCCCUCUUUUAUUCUUUGCUAUAAUGGAUAGCUCUCUAGGAGAUGGAGAGAUACAGGAAAUACAGUUGCU